AUACGGUUUAGUCUAUUUUGA
rnacentral:siRNA from 1 species